UACGUAGGGUGCAAGCGUUGUCCGGAAUUAUUGGGCGUAAAGAGCUCGUAGGCGGUCUGUCACGUCGGGAGUGAAAUCUUACAGCUUAACUGUGAACUUGCUUUCGAUACGGGCAGACUUGAGGCAUUCAGGGGAGAACGGAAUUCCUGGUGUAGCGGUGAAAUGCGCAGAUAUCAGGAGGAACACCGGUGGCGAAGGCGGGUCUCUGGGCAGUAACUGACGCUGAGGAACGAAAGCGUGGGUAGCGAACAGG
rnacentral:rRNA from 1 species